GUCCACGCUGUAAACGAUGAGAACUAGAUGUUGGGGGUAGUAACCCUCCAGUGUCGCAGCUAACGCGUUAAGUUCUCCGCAUGGGGAGUACGGCCGCAAGGUUGAAACUCAAAGGAAUUGACGGGGACCCCGCACAAGCGGUGGAGCAUGUGGUUUAAUUCGAUGCAACGCGAAGAACCUUACCUGGUCUUGACAUCCUCGGAACUUGUCAGAGAUGACUUGGUGCCUUCGGGAACAGAGAGACAGGUGCUGCAUGGCUGUCGU
rnacentral:rRNA from 1 species